UGGGGGAUAUUGCACAAUGGAGGAAACUCUGAUGCAGCGACGCCGCGUGAGGGAAGAAGGUCUUCGGAUUGUAAACCUCUGUCUUCGGGAACGAAUAAAUGACGGUACCCGGGGAGGAAGCCACGGCUAACUACGUGCCAGCAGCCGCGGUAAUACGUAGGUGGCGAGCGUUGUCCGGAUUUACUGGGUGUAAAGGGUGCGCAGGCGGACCGAUAAGUCGGGGGUUAAAUCCAUGUGCUUAACACAUGCACGGCUUCCGAUACUGUCGGUCUAGAGUCUCGAAGAGGAAGGUGGAAUUUCCGGUGUAACGGUGGAAUGUGUAGAUAUCGGAAAGAACACCAGUGGCGAAGGCAGCCUUCUGGUCGAGAACUGACGCUCAUGCACGAAAGCGUGGGGAGCAAACA
rnacentral:rRNA from 1 species